GUGCUUUAGACCUGUGACCCUUUCGUUGCUGCGGGAGAACACCGGCAAUUUGCACCAGCCCGGAGGACUUAGAGAAAGUCAUGCAGCAGCAGCGACACGGUUAAUUGCCAGAGAGCAGCGCGCGGGAGACAUGGAGACGCCGUCGGUGCAGGUGUACAGCGGAGUGCGGGCUGCGCUGGAGAAAUUGACCAGUGAAGCUGCUGUUCUGGCCGAGCACACGAAGCGAGCGGCGGCGCACGACGCGACCCUGGAGACAUUAAACACAAGCUUUCACCAGGUUCAGUCCAGACUGGUGCGCGUUGCAGCUGUAAAACCAGAGUUCAGCAACAUCCUUCUAUAAAAGGACACUCCGCGGUCACAGGAUGGAGCGUCAUAUGUGCAGCAUGGUUUAUUACAUGUAUGUACAUGCAGGGAUAGCCACAAGUCCUCUACAAAGCAAUGCCCAUUGUGGAAUGUGAUUCUAAAUAAAUGCUGACCGUUGUGCAGGA